CUUCAACGGCAGCUGUGGUCGCCUAACAGCACCAGGCCCUAUUGUAGGGGUUUGGAGGUGAUGGUAGUUGUGUCCUAUGGCUCGCAACUAGAAUACACAGUCUCCGAAGAAAACCGCUCGAAGCCGCUUACACGAUGAUCAGUCUUCAAACCCAUGAGUACGCAUUUUGGGCCUUCUCUUUUUCCUUUCUUCUCCAUCUUCUCCCUAAAUGCUCACAUUAGGUUUGUUGGGUUAAAGUGCUAAUUGACAGCAAACGGCACACUCUCAUUCUUCUGACCUCACAUCAUUCAUUACCGUGUGAAUAUCGUUCAUUUAUUGAGUAUUUUAUUUGAUUUCCUUUCUCGUGAUUAGAGAAUUAUAUUGUUUCAAUUGCAACGAAUUUAGCGCGUUCGUGAUUUCAUUGUUUUCAUGAACAUCACUCAUUAUUUUCUUUCUCUACCCAUUUCCCGUCUUGACUUGACCUAACGUGAAAGUCAUUAAGUCAGCCCGGCUAGACAGCUGGGGCGGAUCUGACUUGACUUUCACUUUGAGUGAUUGACACAGGAAAUGGCUGGGAAAACUGCUUGCCAACUGCUUCUAUCGGCGCUAGAACGGAGCUUGUAACGCGAUUCAUAUACAAUUAUAAUUUUGAAUUUAACGCCAGGAUUAUCCCCAUAGUGUCAGAUUGCCUGAUUACUGGGGUUGCAUUUAUGCGUAAUUACGACGUAAUGAUAGUAGGUUAGGUAACCGAAGUAAUUCAUACACUUGGCAGAUUUUGAGCCGUAUGACCCUCAAUUUAUGUCCAUUAACUAAUUUAGGACUAGGGUUUAAGUUUGAUUCAGGAUCCACUUAUCAAUCACACCUUGCUUUUAGAUGUCGCUGUCAUAUUUGGGUUAAUCCCAUCAAUUUGUGAUUCAUGAUAAUCCCCGUAGGGCAUUUCAUGAGCGCCCAUCAUAGAUCUGCAAAUAGAGUGGGUUAUUUAUAAAUCUUCCCAGCUCGUUUAACUUCAUAAAGUACGGCAUUUUUGGGUACAGACCCCCGUCAAUGAACGCUGCAUGCACAGUUAGACUUACUUGCAUACCUCGGCAGUUCCGAGAAGAUUCGCUCGCGAAGGAGCUUGCGAAUAAUUUCACGUCACCAUUCAUUAAUGCGUCAUUCUGUCGCAUAUCAUUUAAUGUUAAAUUGAAUGUGGUAGUUGAAAUAAUGUUGUAUUACGUCUAUAAAUAAUUAGAUGCAUUGUUGUUAAAAUGAACUUUAAUCUCCGUGUUUGGCUGCUUUCUCACUUUCAUUUGACAUUCCCACUCACUGUCACUCAUACGCACAUGCACACACAGUCACUCACUCACCGACGCAGAACAAAAGACACUGAAACCUUCAUUUAAUAGGGCUUGCUGCUGUUGUAGUUACAGGCAUACGUAUCUCUUUGCCCGCGAUUUUGUCAGUCGUGAUGUGUGAUGUACAUGAUUUCGUAUUUCACAUACUUUCUUUCGGUUUCGGCAAUGGUUCAAGCAAACCUUAGCAGGUUGCCAAUUGUCGUUUCCCUUACUUUAUUUUCGUAUAGUAGUUUAAGAUAGUCCUUGCGGACGCUACUGCCAUCUCCCUCUCCUAUUUUCUUCCUUAACUUGUAACUAAAUGGAAACACAAAAUGGAAAAAAAGACGAAAAUAACGAAAAUAAAUAAAAAAACUGCAAAUUUUAAUCACAAAAAUUGGCUAGUGGCGCUUAACACCCCCUCUUCUCUGUUGUCUUUUUUUCUCUUACUAUUUUGGCCCUUAUGUGUAUAAUCUGGUUCGCGAUAUCUGACACGGCACCGAAGGAGGCCCUGCUGCAGAAACGGUCAGACGCUAUGGAAAAACGUCACCGGAAGAUCGCCAGAAGCCUGGAGACCAGGAUGUUCGUCAGAACAGGUAUUAAGCCGCCCCAGGAUGUGAAAGGGCGCCGCCUGCCAGCACGCCUGUAGAUCCAGCGAAGAACCAGGAACUCGCCAGUGCAGGUACCAGUCGCCCGAUGAUGCUGUGGACGAACGCUGCCUGCCUGGACGCCGCAGAUCCAGUCAAACUCCAGGAGCUCGUCAGUGCAGGUAUCAGCCGCCCUGCGAUGCCGAAGAGGACGCUUCCUGCCGGACGCCCGUAGAUCCUGACGAAGAUUACGAGGAUGUCUGUACGAGUGCACAGCCGAGAAGGACCUGGACGAGAUCUGUGAGACGUGCAUUGGGCGAGUAAGCCGCCGAGUUAGACCUGGACGAGGACUACGAGGAAGUCUGGGCGAAUGCGAAGUCAAGAAAGACCUGUGCGAGACCUUCGAGGACGUGUGGAUGUCGAGGACUGAGGCGUUAGUAGGCGGCCGAGCAGUAUACUGUGUAGUAAGCGGUAUAAGCUGUGGCCGCGCUGUGACCUACCACGCUCCGUGUGUUCAUAUAUCUGUGUGCUGUACUCGUAGUCAAUAAAUAGAGUCAAAC